AUUGAACGCUGGCGGCAGGCCUAACACAUGCAAGUCGAGCGAGCGGCGGGCGGGUGAGAAAUGUGUGUGGACUGCCCGAUAGAGGGGGAUAACUCCUGGAAACGGUAGCUCAUACCGCAUACGAUCUGAUAGCCCAUAUGGGAUUAGCUAGUAGGUGAGGUAAUGGCUCACCGAGGCGACGAUCCCUAGCUGGUCUGAGAGGAUGAUCAGCCACACUGGGACUGAGACACGGCCCAGACUCCUACGGAGGCAGCAGUGGGGAAUAUUGCACAAUGGGCGCAAGCCUGAUGCAGCCAUGCCGCGUGUAUGAAGAAGGCCUUAGGGUUGUAAAGUACUUUCAGUGGGGAGGCGUUACCGACAGAAGAAGCACCGGCUAACUCCGUGCCAGCAGCCGCGGUAAUUC
rnacentral:rRNA from 1 species